rnacentral:rRNA from 1 species
UACGUAGGGGGCAAGCGUUGUCCGGAAUCAUUGGGCGUAAAGAGCGUGUAGGCGGCCAGAAAAGUCCGCUGUGAAAACUCGAGGCUCAACUUCGAGCUGUCGGUGGAAACUUUCUGGCUAGAGUCCGGAAGAGGAGAAUGGAAUUCCUGGUGUAGCGGUGAAAUGCGCAGAUAUCAGGAGGAACACCAAUAGCGAAGGCAGCUCGCUGGGACGGUACUGACGCUGAGACGCGAAAGCGUGGGGAGCAAACAGG